GGGUACUCGAGUGGCGAACGGGUGAGUAACACGUGGGUGAUCUGCCCUGCACUUUGGGAUAAGCCUGGGAAACUGGGUCUAAUACCGAAUAGGACCGCAUGCUUCAUGGUGUGUGGUGGAAAGCUUUUGCGGUGUGGGAUGGGCCCGCGGCCUAUCAGCUUGUUGGUGAGGUAAUGGCUUACCAAGGCGACGACGGGUAGCCGGCCUGAGAGGGUGACCGGCCACACUGGGACUGAGAUACGGCCCAGACUCCUACGGGAGGCAGCAGUGGGGAAUAUUGCACAAUGGGCGCAAGCCUGAUGCAGCGACGCCGCGUGAGGGAUGACGGCCUUCGGGUUGUAAACCUCUUUCGCCAGGGACGAAGCGCAAGUGACGGUACCUGGAGAAGAAGGACCGGCCAACUACGUGCCAGCAGCCGCGGUAAUACGUAGGGUCCGAGCGUUGUCCGGAAUUACUGGGCGUAAAGAGCUCGUAGGUGGUUUGUCGCGUUGUUCGUGAAAACUCACAGCUUAACUGUGGGCGUGCGGGCGAUACGGGCAGACUUGAGUACUGCAGGGGAGACUGGAAUUCCUGGUGUAGCGGUGGAAUGCGCAGAUAUCAGGAGGAACACCGGUGGCGAAGGCGGGUCUCUGGGCAGUAACUGACGCUGAGGAGCGAAAGCGUGGGGAGCGAACAGGAUUAGAUACCCUGGUAGUCCACGCCGUAAACGGUGGGUACUAGGUGUGGGUUUCCUUCCUUGGGAUCCGUGCCGUAGCUAACGCAUUAAGUACCCCGCCUGGGGAGUACGGCCGCAAGGCUAAAACUCAAAGAAAUUGACGGGGGCCCGCACAAGCGGCGGAGCAUGUGGAUUAAUUCGAUGCAACGCGAAGAACCUUACCUGGGUUUGACAUGCACAGGACGCCGGCAGAGAUGUCGGUUCCCUUGUGGCCUGUGUGCAGGUGGUGCAUGGCUGUCGUCAGCUCGUGUCGUGAGAUGUUGGGUUAAGUCCCGCAACGAGCGCAACCCUUGUCUCAUGUUGCCAGCACGUUAUGGUGGGGACUCGUGAGAGACUGCCGGGGUCAACUCGGAGGAAGGUGGGGAUGACGUCAAGUCAUCAUGCCCCUUAUGUCCAGGGCUUCACACAUGCUACAAUGGCCGGUACAAAGGGCUGCGAUGCCGUGAGGUGGAGCGAAUCCUUUCAAAGCCGGUCUCAGUUCGGAUCGGGGUCUGCAACUCGACCCCGUGAAGUCGGAGUCGCUAGUAAUCGCAGAUCAGCAACGCUGCGGUGAAUACGUUCCCGGGCCUUGUACACACCGCCCGUCACGUCAUGAAAGUCGGUAACACCCGA
rnacentral:rRNA from 1 species